UUAACGGCUCACGCAAGAUUAUUAAACAUCAUACAGGCAUUAUGACUAUGGUAUACUGGCAUGUUACAUCUGAAUCUGUUAUUCUAAACUUGGUAUUGUGUGUUUAAGUGUGUUUUUAACUUUGUUCCUUACGUAGCACUUAUGAUCGGAAUGCUGCCAAAGAAAAAGACCCACUUCACGUUAAGUGUUACCCAUUCCACUUCAGUGCUGCCAAAAAUAGCAAGGCAUGACAAAGCUGUACUGCCUCACCUUAUGAAGGGUUUUGUGAUGGCAAGGAGUGUGCGGAUGAACCAAGAGGGGUGGACGAUGAUCAAAGACUUCAAAUUCUUGCGUAACCUGAGACCACGACCAAGGCCAGACAGAAGAGCCGUGGUGUCUUGAGGCUGGAGCGAUUAUGACAACCCAUGUGAGUGCCGUGGCCUUGACAACGGAAGACGCUUGUCUGGACCCCCUUAGCAUGUGGUGCCAGCCCGCUUUGGUCCGUUGCUGGGGUAGCAACCCUCCUACAGGCCACUCUGAUCUACGCUCCCGUAUCACAACCCGAUGGAGAUGCAGGAGUUCACCGACUCUUAUUCCCCAUAUUUCAAAACCCAUGACCUGCUCAGGGUGAACCAUUUCAUGGUUGAUUGUUGCAAGGACACUGAGCUUUUGAUAUGUAGAAUUUAGCUAGUGUUGAAUUUAAUUUCAUUCUUUGCUUUCUUUUCAUCCUGGGCACUGGGUCCACUGAUCAGUUGAAAUAGAACUAACCAUUUUUAAAUUAUAACAAAAGAAAAAGAAAGGAACCGUUCAGUGAAUAACCACCACCAACACACUGCGAUUAUGGGUCGACAACCAACUAACUCGGUGUGGCACAACUCGCCCCAUGCAGUCUCAGUGUAGGCUUCUCCAAAAGUGAAACGACCGAGAUGAUUUUUAAAUGAGUAGCAUGCUGAGAAGACUGAGGUGCAAUCACAGAGUCGAAAUGACUCGGCAACCACGGCGACGGGCUGUGCCGGUUUCGCUGACCUCCG